GCAGGCGCUCUGGGAGCUGGGGCUGGGUGACUGAUGGCCCUGGGCGGCCCCACCAAAGCUUCCAUCUGGACCCUCAGGCCUCUGGAGUUAGCAAUGCCCGGCAGGAGGCCGCCAGGAGCAGAAGGCUUGGAGCUUUAAAGCGGAACGGUCCGCGCGCUGACCGGGGUCCAUGGAGCGUGCCCACCGCACGGCGCUGAUUGGCACGAGCAGAAGCCAGUCCUGACGGGGUGUCUAAUCCAGCAGCUUUCCCAGAGACUACAGCACCUGACAUGGCCUGGAAUCCAUGAGCAAUUGGCUGGAAGAGAGGCUUCCUGUGCAGCUGUGCCACCCAGCUCUGGCUCCUGCCACAGGACCAGGGAUGGCACCACCUUGUGGCAUGUGCGGCUGCCCCAUCUGUGCCUUUGGUCCAGCACUUAGUCUGUGUGGAGGACAUCUUGAUGAGUGAUGUGAGUGCAUCUUGGUCAUUGCCCACUGUCUUGGCUGACACUUGGUCCUUGUGCAGGUGGCUCAGGAGAGAUCCCGCUUGGGUAAGGUUUCCUGAGUAGCCAUUUGCCAAAGCAGAGCGAGAUGUAGCAGAACGUAAGUCAAGGGUGUGUUGUCUUUGAUGGGCAGUCCCUAAUAGGUGGUGGAAUGCACAUGUCUGCUUGCACCAUGAACCUGACUGAGCACCAGCAUCAUAGUAAGUUUUGGGCAUCUGUGCAGGGGAUGCUCUGGAGUUCGUGCCACACCCAGGCCAUUCAGCAACUUGGCCUGCACCCUUCCAAACCGGUUUUGAAAAGUUAUUUUUGAAACCGAUCUUGGGAACCCUGAACAAUUUGGUUCAUAGUCUUGGGCCAAUUGCUCUGUGGCGUGUAAUGAGCAUUGGCACUCUCUGGCCACUGCUACCUGUCUUUGUAACUCAAACAUUGGAAACAUGGCAUACAAUUCAAUUACCACUAGCCUCAGUGUCUUGCAGGCUUCUUUGCAGGUAGGUGUUGUGGAGAAUGUCCUGGCUGAGGGCACCUCACUAAGACAUGCCUAGGCCUCUGGCUGACCUUGUCUCCCUGCCCCACUCACCACCAUCGUCACACACAGGCAUUGGCCAGUUGUCCCCCUCCGUGCCACAACACAGCUGCCAACUAGUGUGUGCUCAAGGGCAUAACUGUGGCAGGGACUUUGCUGGUGUUGCUUUGGGCCAGAUCCAGGGUGAGGUGGUCCUGCUCUUAGGACUGGUGUCCCUCGACAACACGUGGGGCAGCUUCCAUGGGACUACGCUAAGACCAGAGGUUACAUCCAGGGGGAGCUUCUUCCCCUCUGUGGGGACCAAAGUGCAGAAUUCAUUCAAUCUCUUGAAUGAGAUGGCUUCUACAUAAUUCAAUAUACUUCAAUAUUUAAAUCAUUAUAAACACUUACAAUGAUCCAAAAUUAUAUUCAUCCUGAGCUGUGAGUGGGCAGAAUGUAGAGUACAGUAAUGAAAUCACUGUUGACGCUGUAUAGACAUAUUCAAAAUUUAUUCCCAUUUUUGGAACAGUAAAUUGAACCUGCAAUUCUCUUCUAGAAGCUACCUUCCUUAAAAAGAGAAUCACUGAGGAGAAGGAUAGUAGACUCCAUGAUGGUCCAAUCUUGGCCAUUAAAAACCCUGCAUUGUUAGAAGCUGUAGAUAGUCACUGCCCUCACCCCAAUUUAAGACCAUUUCCUCACAUCCUUUGCUCAGUGGGGUCCCACUGUACCAAGCUAUCUUCCCUAUGGGGACCUCUACAUCCGUCAGGUUACACAACCAAAUUGCAGGACCACAGCCAGCUCCAGGUAAAAUUGCCAAAUAGGCUCCUCCCUGAGUCUCUUUGUCCUAUUUGGGUGCACAGAGUAGGCUUGGGGUGCUUCUGGGAAGCUCCUGGGAAGCAAACCACCGUCACUAAGCUGAGAAUUCCCAGAACAUCAGGUUGCAGGGUCACCGUGUGAACAUGUAAAGUGGCUCCAUCAGAUGCAAUGUCAUGUUGUCUGCAGGAAGUGUCAGGCCUCUGCCUCCACAUGGUAGGGCGACCCUCUACUACUUGGGGUCUCUAACCCCCUUGUCUGCAUGUGGAGCUAUAGGGCCAUCCUGCUGACAGCCCCAGACACUAGGUUUCCUCUGCCAAGGAUGCAAAAAUCCUGUCUGUUCUCCUAUCAUUUUUCAAAACCUUUCUGAUAGUUUCAGGCAUUGAGCAAAAGAAAUGUGAUGGCAGAGUAAAAAACUUCUGCCUCCAAAAUGCUUGUUUCCUAGCAGAGACCGGUUUCCCUUCUGCAGCAACGUAGCAUGGCUCUGCACAUGGUCUCUGCUUCCUGGGAAGCCAGUGCUGCUCAGCCGACGGGUCUCACGUGGUGCAGUGGGAACUGUGACACUCUUGCCCACAUGUCACCUCCCCUUCUGCCCGUUACUCAUGGGAAGAGCACACUGUGGCUCCAUAUGCAUGCAGAGAGACCUGGCCAGAUGGUGGCAUGAGGCUGUGUGCACCGAGAGCAGAAAGGAACCACAGAUGCCGACUACUUCACCACAUAAGGAACCGUGAGCUGAGGCCAGAGAGGUGGAGAGCCCAUCUAAAGUGUCAGAGCCAGAGGCAAAAGCCAGGUUUUCUGAAGGAGAGGCCAGAGUUGUUAUGUGGUUGAUGGGGUAGGUACGUAGGCAGACAGGUAGAUGAUGGUUUAGAGAUGAGGUGUCCCCCAAAAGUUCAUCUGGGACAAUGCAAGAAUGUUCAGAGGUCAAAUGAUUGUAUUAUAAGAACUAUCACCUAAUCAAUGAAUUAAUCCACUGAUUUGGACUAACUAGUUGGUAGCUUUGGGCAGGGAGGGUGGGAUUAGGGAAGCAGGUCACUGGGGUGGUGUCUUUGAGGUUUCUGUUUUGUCCCUGAUGAGAAGAGCUCGUUCUCUCUCUGCUCCCUGCUCCCGACCUGAGCUGCCUUCCUCCUCCACACCCCUCUGCCCUGGCCCCCUCCCCGACCGCAGGCCCAGAGCUAUGGCAUUGACUGUCUGGCACCGAGGCUUCUGAAAACAUGAGCCAAAUAAA